rnacentral:lncRNA from 1 species
CUGGUUUAUAUUAGCAUUAGUCACAGUCAAGAGUAAUCAUCAGGAUUAUCUUUGGGCUGUGAAAAUAUACAUGAUUUGAGAGGAGGUUUUCCCCCCAGUUCAAACAGAACAAGUUUUCUUCUCAAUUCACCUUGCACAGGGCAAGGAUCCUGGCUGGGUCCAAGCUGGAGAGGCUGAAUUAGCAAAAUACUUUCUGAAUACAUAGAAACUCCCCAGUAUUCAUCUUCAGGAAGACCUGAAGGUACAACUGCAGCAGGAGAGCUGCCCAUGUCCCUCUAGUUGUACACACUUGAGUGAUCUGCAGCAUCCCCAUUGAAAUCCUCUGGGUUUCUCUCAUGGUUUUUGCGGGCUUUUCCCAUGCAUCUUAAGAGGACAAAAGCUGCUAUUGCAAGUUUCUUCGGAGAGAUGCAUCCUGGUCUGUGCCAGCCUGAAACAGCUGCUAGCAGAACCCACCAGCAUCAGCCUUCCCCCAGUCACUGUGAGCUCCUGCUGUGCCUGCACAGAGGAGAUGAUCAUGGAGAAACCCAUAUGGAGACAAAAGAAACCUAAAGGAAGAAGAACAAUGUUCCAGAUUUCAUGUGUUAGAGGAGCUCAUAACUGGGGAAGAAGGAGCUAAAGAAUAUGGAAAACAAACAUGAGUGUGCUUCAGUGCUGGUCUACCUUACUGAAUAUCCUGACACUGACUUCCUCCAAUACAUGGCUGUAUUUAGCUAUUUGUCUCUAGCUAUAUACUUAUUGUUUUGUUUAAAUAUUUCUACAUUUUUAUUUAAGAAUCAGAAAAUUCUGAUCCAAAACAACAUUAAUUACAUACAGAUUUUUUAAUCUCCCCCAAAAUCAUCAGAAACGGAAGUGGUAAAGUAUCCAAAGAAAGUUCUUGCACUACUGGUGAUGCCGCAUGCAGGACUGACUGCAAAUUGCAUCAGAGAGCAUAUUCCAGUAUUUCCGGAUCAAUUUUGAUGACUCAAUGGUCUGGAUAAUAUUUGAAAAAGCAGAUGGUCUCCUGAAUGCUUCUUUUGUCCAUCUCAUUAUUACUUAAAAAAUCACUUUAUAUGGAGUAGAUUGAAUUUGCCAAAUGUCAGAUGCAUUUCAUUGCUGCUAUUGGAGCUAUAGUUAUUAUUAUUAAUAACAAAAAUAAUAAAAUGGGAAAUAUCAACA